rnacentral:misc_RNA from 1 species
UUUCCGUAGGUGAACCUGCGGAAGGAUCAUUACUGAGUGAGGGCCCUCUGGGUCCAACCUCCCACCCGUGUUUAUUGUACCUUGUUGCUUCGGUGAGCCCGCCUCACGGCCGCCGGGGGGCAUCUGCCCCCGGGCCCGCGCUCGCCGAAGACACCCCUGAACUCUGUCUGAAGUUUGCAGUCUGAGCGAAAACUAAAUAGGUUAAAACUUUCAACAACGGAUCUCUUGGUUCCG